GACGAACGCUGGCGGCGUGGAUUAGGCAUGCAAGUCGAACGGUAUCAUCCUUUCGGGGGUGAGAGAGUGGCGAACUGGUGAGUAACACGUAGGUUAUCUACCCUCAAGACGGGGACAACCCAGGGAAACUUGGGCUAAUACCGGAUGUGAGCAACUUUUAGUUGUUUGAAAGGUGGCGUAAGCUGUCGCUUGGGGAUGAGCCUGCGUCCUAUUAGUUAGUUGGUGAGGUAACGGCUCACCUAGGCAAUGAUAGGUAGGCGGCCUUAACGGGUGUCGCCCACACUGGGAUUGAGAUACGGCCCAGACUCCUACGGGAGGCAGCAGUCGAGAAUAGUCUACAAUGGUCGGAAGACUGAUAGUGCGACGCCGCGUGAACGAUGAAAUCCCUUCGGGGUGUAAAGUUCUUUUAUAUGUGAGCAGUGCUUCUUAUAUUAACAGUAUGGGGAGAGAGAUAUUAGCAUAUGAAUAAGCAAACGGCUAAACUCCGUG
rnacentral:rRNA from 1 species